CGCUGCUAAGCUAUCCCUCACUACUAAGCUAUCUAUCACUGCUAAUCUAUCGCUGCCAAUCUAUCUAUCACUGCCAAUCUAUCUAUCGCUGCUAAUCUAUCGCUGCUAAUCUAUCGCUGCUAAUCUAUCGCUGCUAAUCUAUCGCUGCUAAUCUAUCGCUGCCAACCUAUCUACCGCGGCGAAUCUAUCUAUUGCUGCCAACCAACCUACCACUGCCAACCUAUCUAUCGCUGCCAAUCUAUCGCUGCCAAUCUAUCACUGCCAACCUAUCUACUGCAGUGAAUCUAUCUAUCACUAUCAUUACUAGUUCAAAAUAGAACUAGAGCAUAAAUACACUAAACUUCUUUUGAUAGAUAAUGAUUUUUGGUAACACUCAUAGCAUUAUAUCAUCUAUAUAGGGUAAAUCAUGGUCCCAUUUGGUCCCAUUUUAACAAAAUGGGAUCAAAUGGGACCAGAAUCAGUAAUUUAUAAGAAGAACAUGACCUGAGACUAGAUUUAUAAUAUAAACAGUGUAAAGUGACUAAUUUAAUAAACACUA
rnacentral:sRNA from 1 species